rnacentral:rRNA from 1 species
UCAGAGUUUGUCUGGCUCAGGAUGAACGCUAGCUACAGGCUUAACACAUGCAAGUCGAGGGGCAGCAUCAUCAAAGCUUGCUUUGAUGGAUGGCGACCGGCGCACGGGUGAGUAACACGUAUCCAACCUGCCGACAACACUGGGAUAGCCUUUCGAAAGAAAGAUUAAUACCGGAUGGCAUAAUUAUUCCGCAUGGGAUAAUUAUUAAAGAAUUUCGGUUGUCGAUGGGGAUGCGUUCCAUUAGG